rnacentral:rRNA from 1 species
UGGGUUUCGGCCUGAUAGUGGCGGACGGGUGAGUAUCGCGUAGGGAUUUAUCGUUGGGUGGGGGAUAACCUUGGGAAACUGGGGCUAAUACCGCAUGACGCCUUUGGGCCAAAGCAGAGAUGCGCCUGACGAGGAGCCUGCGUCCGAUUAGCUAGUUGGUUGGGUAAAGGCUGACCAAGGCAUCGAUCGGUAGCUGGUCUGAGAGGAUGAUCAGCCACACUGGGACUGAGACACGGCCCAGACUCCUACGGGAGGCAGCAGUGGGGAAUAUUGGACAAUGGGCGCAAGCCUGAUCCAGCAAUGCCGCGUGGAUGAAGAAGGUUUUCGGAUUGUAAAGUCCUUUCGGCGGGGACGAUGAUGACGGUACCCGCAGAAGAAGCCCCGGCUAACUUCGUGCCAGC